UACGUAGGGUGCAAGCGUAUCCGGAAUUUAUUGGGCGUAAAAGAGCUCGUAGGCGGUUUGUCGCGUCUGCUGUGAAAACUGGGGGCUCAACCCCCAGCCUGCAGUGGGUACGGGCAGACUAGAGUGCGGUAGGGGAGAUUGGAAUUCCUGGUGUAGCGGUGGAAUCGCAGAUAUCAGGAGGAACACCGAUGGCGAAGGCAGAUCUC
rnacentral:rRNA from 1 species